UGCCAGACUCCUACGGGAGGCAGCAGUGGGGAAUAUUGCACAAUGGGGGAAACCCUGAUGCAGCGACGCCGCGUGAGCGAUGAAGUAUUUCGGUAUGUAAAGCUCUAUCAGCAGGGAAGAAAAUGACGGUACCUGACUAAGAAGCCCCGGCUAACUACGUGCCAGCAGCCGCGGUAAUACGUAGGGGGCAAGCGUUAUCCGGAUUUACUGGGUGUAAAGGGAGCGUAGACGGCGGUGCAAGCCAGAUGUGAAAGCCCGGGGCUCAACCCCGGGACUGCUCUUGGAACUGCGCGGCUGGAGUGCAGGAGGGGCAGGCGGAAUUCCUGGUGUAGCGGUGAAAUGCGUAGAUAUCAGGAGGAACGCCGGUGGCGAAGGCGGCCUGCUGGACUGCGACUGACGUUGAGGCCCGAAAGCGUGGGGAGCAAACAGGAUUAGAUACCCUCGUA
rnacentral:rRNA from 1 species